AACCUUAUGGACCUGCGGGCGUAUACCUGCGGAAGGAUCAUUACAGAGAUUGAUGCACCAAGUGCAUCACCUCCAACCCCUUGCGAAAACAACUAUCAUGUGUUGCUUUGGCAGUGUUUCCACUGCCAGAGGUUUACAUAAAAUCAGCUGUUUGGAUGUUGUCUGAGUAAACUAUAUGAAUUAUUUAAAACUUUCAACAAUGGAUCU
rnacentral:misc_RNA from 1 species